rnacentral:rRNA from 1 species
CUACGGGUGGCUGCAGUGAGGAAUAUUGCACAAUGGGGGGAACCCUGAUGCAGCAACGCCGCGUGGAGGAUGGCGCAUUUCGGUGUGUAAACUCCUUUUAUAUGUCAAGAAAAUGACGGUAGCAUAUGAAUAAGCACCGGCUAACUCCGUGCCAGCAGCCGCGGUAAUACGGAGGGUGCAAGCGUUACUCGGAAUCACUGGGCGUAAAGGACGCGUAGGCGGGUUGGAAAGUCAGGUGUGAAAUCCUACAGCUUAACUGUAGAACUGCACUUGAAACUUCUAAUCUAGAGUAUGGGAGGGGGAGAUGGAAUUAGUGGUGUAGGGGUAAAAUCCGUAGAUAUCACUAGGAAUACCUAAAGCGAAGGCGAUCUCCUGGAACAUUACUGACGCUAGGGCGUGAAAGCGUGGGGAGCAAACAGGAUUAGAUACCCCUGUAGUC